rnacentral:rRNA from 1 species
CCUACGGGGGGCUGCAGUGAGGAAUAUUGGUCAAUGGACGAGAGUCUGAACCAGCCAAGUAGCGUGAAGGAUGACUGCCCUAUGGGUUGUAAACUUCUUUUAUAAAGGAAUAAAACGAGGCACGUGUGCCUUUUUGCAUGUACUUUAUGAAUAAGGAUCGGCUAACUCCGUGCCAGCAGCCGCGGUAAUACGGAGGAUCCGAGCGUUAUCCGGAUUUAUUGGGUUUAAAGGGAGCGUAGAUGGGUUGUUAAGUCAGUUGUGAAAGUUUGCGGCUCAACCGUAAAAUUGCAAGUGAUACUGGCAGUCGUGAGUACAGUUGAGGUAGGCGGAAUUCGUGGUGUAGCGGUGAAAUGCUUAGAUAUCACGAAGAACCCCGAUUGCGAAGGCAGCUUACUAAACUGUGACUGACAUUGAUGCUCGAAAGUGUGGGUAUCAAACAGGAUUAGAUACCCCAGUAGUC